CUAUCUAAUACGUCCUCUAUAUUACACUGAUUUUUAGAACAGGGAGAUGGAAGAGGGGCUUGCUCCAUCUGCUCCGUCCACUCCAUGCAUCGACCUGGUAUUGCAGUACCUCCGGGAAUGGCGUACCUCAG
ensembl:snRNA U2 U2 spliceosomal RNA